rnacentral:rRNA from 1 species
UGGGCGUCGAGCGGCGGACGGGUGAGUAAUGCCUAGGAAAUUGCCUUGAUGUGGGGGAUAACCAUUGGAAACGAUGGCUAAUACCGCAUGAUGCCUACGGGCCAAAGAGGGGGACCUUCGGGCCUCUCGCGUCAAGAUAUGCCUAGGUGGGAUUAGCUAGUUGGUGAGGUAAUGGCUCACCAAGGCGACGAUCCCUAGCUGGUCUGAGAGGAUGAUCAGCCACACUGGAACUGAGACACGGUCCAGACUCCUACGGGAGGCAGCAGUGGGGAAUAUUGCACAAUGGGCGAAAGCCUGAUGCAGCCAUGCCGCGUGUAUGAAGAAGGCCUUCGGGUUGUAAAGUACUUUCAGUUGUGAGGAAGGG